rnacentral:lncRNA from 1 species
CGAGCCAUAAAUUUUAUUAACAAAAAAAAGAUAGCUAUACAAAAUUAAUUAUAUAAGAAGAACAAAAAAUCCUAAGGGUGUGGAUUUAUCAAACGAGCUAGGAUAAAGCCUAAAGUGUUUUGGAUAUGCUCUUCCUUCUUGGCCUAUAUUCCAUGAAUGCUCUAGUUUUAACUUCUAGCCUUGCAAAGUCUUCAUUCUUCACAAACUAAGAAGGGUCAAACGGUGUGCAGUGGGAGCAGCCAAUGGGACAUCAACUUCAACCCAAGAAUUGGCAAAUUCACUUUAGGGAUUUUCAGGAAAGGUAUCUUAACCUAAGGAAUGAACACAAGGAAUUUUAAUGGUUUUGGUGAAACAACCACAUGAAUUUUCAGAUGAUAAAGUCUAGAGGGAAAGACAAUUGCACUAGUUGUUCCUGUUGUUGUAGUUAGAGUCCUCAUGGUAUGAGUUUCUUGUACCUUCUUGAAGUGCAAAACCUAAAGGUAGGUGGUACUAGGUUACCAAAAGUGCGGGAAAGUGAACGGGGAAGGUAGUGGGUGCUUGAAUUUUUGUGUUUUUGAUAAAACGUUUGAGUUUAUAAUUUGAAAGUGCAUUAAAGAUAUAACACACACUUAGAACAAGUAUUACACGUGUUAGAAUACUAAUUAUCACAUACUUUCUGAAAAAUAUUCAAUGGAUAGAUUAAUUUUCAUUCCACUUGAGUCAUAAAUAAUUUUAAUUUGUCAGAGGCAGAAUAAGAAUAUAUAUGUAACACAAAAAAAAAAAAAACUUAUUUUAGUAGAGGUAGAAUAAACUCAUUUUCAAAGGCAAAAUGCAUUUUAUUUGCCCAUAGCCAAAUUAAUACAAUGUUUAUGUUAUCAUUCCUUUAUAAAUUGAAUCUCACAUUGAUGGUCAGUGUCUAAAAAUUUAAUCUCUAAAAUACCCUUUUGAACAUAAUCUCUUAAAAAAUAAUGUUUAAUCUCUAUAUGUUUUGCUCUAGAAUGUAAAAUAAGAUGGUUAAGCAAAUUGCAGAAGCAUGAUCUCAAAAGAUAGAAAUGUUACUCUCGUUAGUUUUACAUUCUUCUAGCUGAUGUUUAAUCAAUAACAAUUGUGGGCUACAACUUGUUGCUAUGAUGUAGUCUGGUUCAGUAGUGGAUAGAACAAUUGUUCAUUGUCUUUUGGUUGGCUAGAAAAUUAGAUUUUCACCAAGAAAUGUUCAACUUCCACUAGUGUUUUUUCUCUCAAGCUUUUGUCCAGCAUAGUCAACAUCAUGGUAACCUCUGUAUACCUUUUAAUCUAUAUUUUUUCUUGGGUCAUCUUUAUUAAGAGAACAAGUAGGACACUUAGGGGUGAGCAUAUGUUUGUAUUCAUUCAUCUUAUACUUCAUGAGAAGUUCUUUAGUGUAUUUAGUAUGACAAGUGUAGACACCUUCAAAGUUUUGUUGAAUUUGAAUUCCAAAAAAGGCUUUUAGCUAUCCCAUCAUACACAUUUCAAACUUAUUUUGGUUUAGUUGUGAAAACUAUUGACAUAAUUUUGCAUUAGUAGAACCAAAAAUGAUGUCAUUCACAUAUACUUAAACAGUGAGAAAGUCGUUUUUAGAGGACUUUCUAAACCAAGUAGUGUUCACCUAGUCUCUUUCCAUUUAAAAAAAAAAGAAAGAAAAUUACUCAGUUUUUCAUACGAAGCUUCGGAAGCUUGUUUAAGACCAUAUAAAGAUUUUUUCAAUUUAAAAAUAUGAUAUGGAAAUCAUUGUCUUCAAUUAUGUUAUAUGUUUUUAUGUUGUUUGUCCUGUUGCUUUCCGUUUUCUCGUUUUCUUUGUUUAAUGUCAGUUUAUGUUGACUUUCUUUUCUUCAUGUUUUUUUUUCCUUUCACUAAAUGUGUACUAUGAUGAAACAGUCGUACUGACUUGCACUUAAUCUUAAAAUUUCUGUUUGUGAUUUCGCAAGUUAAAUUUCAUUUAUUAGAUUAUGUUAUUGCUCAAGUCGACAAGCCUUCCUAAUGCAUGCAUUCUUGAUUACUAAAUGGUUGUAGAAGGCUAAUAUGCCAUCAAUUUUUCAAAAAUACAAUUUUAACUUUUCAGAAGCAUGUUGGCUUUAUUUUGAUUGUUCAUACUCUCUCUUAUUAUCCUAGCUGUGAGCUUUUGAGCCUAAACACUUAAAUUCUUUGUUGUGUGAUUAUCCAGACAUGUGUUAUCCCUCUAGAACUUGCACUAAUUCUGACUUGCAUCACAUGUAAUUUAUGCACACAUUGAGGCAAUUUUAUUGGUCAUUUCUUUUAUUUCGGUUACUAGCCACAUUACAAGGCAAACACAUGACUUUAAUUAAAUCACCUUACUUGGAGUUAGGUAGAAAAAAAUUAUUGUCUUGAUAAAAUUCUAAGUUUGGGGUUGCUCAUGAGAUAGCAUCUUUUUAAAUUUGGGGUGGUGAUUCUCACAAAAAGAUAAUAAAAAGAAAAAAAUAAAAAGAAAAAAAUAAAAAGAAGAAAGAGAAAAUGAAAGAAAAAAGAAGAAAAAAAAAAACAAAUUUCAAUUUGUGUACUUUGGUAAAUAAUAUCUUCUUGGUUCUUUUGUCAAUGUUUGAGAAUCUCCAUAAUGAGAAGGUGAAGAAAAAAAAUGGUAGAAUAAGGUGGAAAUGUAUGCCUUACUCCAAGUGGUAAAGUCUACUAUCCUAAAAUGUCCUACCCUUACCUAAGCCCCAUUACAACCCGAAAGUCCUCCAAAAAUGUAUGUGUUUACUGCAUUGUGAUUGCUAACUAGAAUUUUUUAAAGCCUAUGGUAGCGUGAUGCAUGUUCUAGGAUUUGAGUGAUAAAUUCAUAAACCUUUCUAAACACUUGAGAGAAAUUUUGGUGAGAUUGUGUGAAGAGAGAGUUGAAUUUGAUGAAUGAAUGCCAAGGUGGACAAAUCUUGUUGUCUGUAUUUUUGAAAACAACCAUAGAGCAUGAUGAAUGUUUUGCAGUAGCAAGAACUUUGAAAUUUGAGUUUGAUGUAAUUUGAGAAAUUGAAUUUAAGUGUGCAUUUAACAGGACCAAAUAUGAAAUUAAUUGUUGCUUGGGGACAAGCAAUAGAUUAAGUUUGGGGUUGUGAUGACUCUUCAUCAUAUGCAUAUUUUCCCACUAUUUUAGUCUUAUUCUAAGCUCCAUUACAACCCGAAAGUCCUCCAAAAAUGUAUGUGUUAACUGCAUUGUGAUUGCUAACUAGAAUUUUUUCAAGCCUAUGGUAGUGUGAUGCAUGUUCUAGGAUUUGAGCGAUAAAUUCGUAACUCUUUCUAAACACUUGAGAGAAAUUUUGGUGAGAUUGUGUGAAAAAAGAGUUGAAUUUGAUGAAUCAAUGCCAAUGUGUACAAAUCUUGUUGUCUUUUUGUUCUUUUUGCAAACAACCAUAGAGCAUGAUGAAUGUUUUACAGUAGCAAGAACUUUGAAAAUUGAGUUUGAUUUAAUUUGAGAAAUUGAAUUUAAGUGUGCAUUUAACUGGACCAAAUCUGAAAUUAAUUGUUGCUUGGGGACAAGCAAUAGAUUAAGUUUGGGGUUGUGAUGACUCUUCAUCAUAUGCAUAUUUUCCCACUAUUUUAGUCUUAUUUAUCCUCAAUCAUUAGUUAAAUUAAGGAUUUAUUUGAUAUAUUUUGUUGAUUUUUGUUCUUUGAGUUAAUAAAAUGUUUUGUGUUUUUAUUUCUUUGAUUAAGUAGGAAUUUUUCAUAAUUUUACAUUGCGUUUUGUUUUAGUGCAGUGCUGAAUUUUGGUGAGAAAUCAACAUGACAUAUGUAGAGUAUUUCAGCCAUAUCUGGAGUUGUAGAUGUCCAAUUGGAGUCAAACCAAGUGCACAUGAAAGCUAUGAUCCAUAGCUACAAAUUUCAUGAAGACACUAGAACCACAUUCAGACUCGAAAGAGGAGACAAAUGCAAUAUACGUCGGACAACAGAUGUUGCGCGCCCAAGCGCCCAAGCGCACCUGAAGCGCGUUUUCCAGCAGCAGUUGCUACUACCCAAACGCGUCUGGGGCGCGCGACGCGCACCAGCAACCAUAAAAACGCAGAUUUUUUUACUGUUUUAGGGAUCUUUUUCACUAUUGGGAAGUUGGGAGACUUGUGCCCUAGCAUAGAUACUCAAAGAGGACCGUUUCUAACAUCAUUAGAGCAGUUUUAUCAAGAAUCAUUCGUGAAUCCUUCUUGUAAUUCUUCUCUAAUCUUUAUCUCU